UAGUGUUUAUCAGCUAGAUAUUUCUGUCAUUCUCUUCCUCUCCAACAAGAUAAUCGUGUGUCAAACUCUGGAGAGAUUUUGAUUACUCUAGAUAUCUGCCUCAACAAGAAAAUCUACAGAGGUCUAAGUAGCCAAUAAGGGUGACUAGUAUUAUUAAGGAAACAGAAGGGACAUUUGGUGAGAGAUGAAUUUAAUUAAAGACACAUGAAUUGCUUAAAGGAAGAAACACUUUUGAUAUGCUGGGACCAAACUAGAAUAUGGCAAAUAAGAACAAUUUCUUAAGUCAUUUACUAUUUGUGGAAGGGAGCAUGAAUAUAAAAUCACAUCUGCUCAGUCUUUCCCUAAGAGGAUGGAGAGGUAUAUUUCCUAAACCAACAUGAAAAGAAAAUGAUAAGGGGCAAGCGCGUGGAGGUGUUUAUGUUUUCAGCUCUAGCCAAUUGCUUGGGACCCAAAACAAAAGCCAGUGCAGAUGGAAGGAUGCAAGAUUAUACAAUAGA